rnacentral:tRNA from 1 species
GCGGGGGUGCCCGAGCCAGGUCAAAGGGGUCGGGCUGAGGACCCGAUGGCAUAGGCCUGCGUGGGUUCAAAUCCCACCCCCCGCACCA